rnacentral:misc_RNA from 1 species
UUUCCGUAGGUGAACCUGCGGAAGGAUCAUUAUCGUACAAAAUGUGAGGGGCAUGCGGGGGCUGUCGCUGACCGAAAAGUCGUGCACGCCCGAGUGUGUCCUCUUGCAUAAUAAUCCAUCUCACCCUUUGUGCAUCACCGCGUGGGCACCCUUCGGGAUCAUCUCGGAGGGGGGCUCGCGUUUCACACAAACCCCCCUUUUAAAAGUGUAGAAUGACCACAUUUAUGCAAUCAAUACAACUUUCAACAACGGAUCUCUUGGCUCUC